GACGAACGCUGGCGGCGUGCUUAACACAUGCAAGUCGAACGGAAAGGCCCUGCUUUUGUGGGGUGCUCGAGUGGCGAACGGGUGUGUAACACGUGAGUAACCUGCCCUUGACUUUGGGAUAACUUCAGGAAACUGGGGCUAAUACCGGAUAGGAGCUCCUGCUGCAUGGUGGGGGUUGGAAAGUUUCGGCGGUUGGGGAUGGACUCGCGGCUUAUCAGCUUGUUGGUGGGGUAGUGGCUUACCAAGGCUUUGACGGGUAGCCGGCCUGAGAGGGUGACCGGCCACAUGGGUACUGAGAGACGGCCCAGACUCCUACGGGAGGCAGCGGUGGGGAAUAUUGCACAAUGGGCGGAAGCCUGAUGCAGCAGCGCCGCGUGCGGGAUGACGGCCUUCGGGUUGUAAACCGCUUUCGCCUGUGACGAAGCGUGAGUGACGGUAAUGGGUAAAGAAGCACCGGCUAACUACGUG
rnacentral:rRNA from 1 species